AUUGAACGCUGGCGGCAGGCCUAACACAUGCAAGUCGAACGAGAGGCGGACGGGUGAGUAAUGUCUGGGAAACUGCCUGAUGGAGGGAGAUAAAUACGGGAACCGGUAGCUAAUACCGCAUACCAUCAGAUGUGCCCAGAUGGGAUGAGCUAGUUGGUGGGGUAACGGCUCACCAAGGCGACGAUCCCUAGCUGGUCUGAGAGGCUGACCAGCCACACUGGAACUGAGACACGGACCAGAGUCCUACGGGAGGCAGCAGUGGGGAAUAUUGCACAAUGGGCGCAAGCCUGAUGCAGCCAUGCCGCGUGUAUGAAGAAGGCCUUCGGGUUGUAAAGUACUUUCAGCUGGGAGGCGUUACCCGCAGAAGAAGCACCGGCUAACUCCGUGCCAGCAGCCGCGGUAAUAC
rnacentral:rRNA from 1 species